rnacentral:lncRNA from 1 species
GCAGAAAGAGAAAUCUGAGCCUCAGCCGCGCCAGGAACAGGCUUUGCACAAACUAUCUGGUUUCAAGUUGCGAGUCUCCGGAGUCCCUGAAAAGGUGCCCCGGGAACAGGACUCCCUUUGCAGGGCCCCGAGGAUUGAUGAGAAUCCCCCAUCCCCAACCACCCAGAGGAUAAGCAGCAGAUCUGGUAGAUGCCUUCCUUAGGAGUCAGCCAAGGCUCGGCUGGAGUUGCUGGAAUGCAUACAGCCACUGAGGUGCAAUGGAGGCUCUGGUGACUUCUGCAGCUGCCCCCUGGCCUGCACUAUGUUUUUGAG